GAUCAUGGCUCAGGAUGAACGCUAGCGAUAGGCCUAACACAUGCAAGUCAGGGGCAGCACAUGAAGUAGCAAUACAGAUGGUGGCGACCGGCGCACGGGUGAGUAACACGUAUGCAACCUACCUUCCACAGGAGAAUAACCCGUUGAAAAACGGACUAAUACUCCAUAAUACAGGGGUCCCGCAUGGGAAUAUUUGUUAAAGAUUUUUUCGGUAGAAGAUGGGCAUGCGUUCCAUUAGCUAGUUGGUUGAGGUAACGGCUCACCAAGGCAACGAUGGAUAGGGGAACUGAGAGGUUUAUCCCCCACACUGGUACUGAGACACGGACCAGACUCCUACGGGAGGCAGCAGUGAGGAAUAUUGGUCAAUGGAGGCAACUCUGAACCAGCCACGUCGCGUGAAGGGAAUGACGGCCCUACGGGUUGUAAACUUCUUUUAUACAGGAAUAAAGUGAGUCACGUGUGACUUUUUGCAUGUACUGUAUGAAUAAGGAUCGGCUAACUCCGUGCCAGCCGCAGC
rnacentral:rRNA from 1 species